UGUUCCUAAAGGAACUUCAGAGGGGAAGACUUGUUCUAUAUGUUUUGUGUCUACAAAUGUAACUUAACGGCAAUGGAAGAAGUGUCUCAGCCUAGAAAAUACCAAAGCAGGCAGGGGUGAUUCCACACACAGUUUCCUUUUGUACUGAACUUGGUUUCUCUGUGCAGAGGGAGUGGGGAACAACUGAAGUAGCCAUUGCUGAUGAAAGAAAUGUUUGCCAAAUACUGUCCUAUGCUCAAAUAAGGUAUCUGAGAGAGCAACAACAGCUACGGUGGUGUGUGUUUCAUUUCCCUCACCCUGGGGCAUCCCAGGCAUAACAAUGCUCCACGGAGAAGAAAAGAAAAAAGGAAAGAGAGAAGGAAGGCUAAAAAGGUUCUGGCAUGCAUCUGUCAACAUGGCUGACGUAGCUACACAGGAAUAUCGUGAUGGGAAAAGUCUUGGGUAGAAAAAUCUUACUGUAUACAUACGAUGAAAGAGAAGGGAAAGGCAGUGUUGGAAGAGGACAACCUGUUCCCAGCAGUCAGCAAAGUCUCCAAUCAUUUUACAGCAGUGGCAGCUGCCUCUUUCUCAGCAGUGAGGCGGGAGUGCCCCUGGGAGCCUGGCAUUUCAAGGAGAACAGAUCACAGAAAACUUUGCAGAGACACAUCAGUGAACGUGAGGGACAAAGUGCUGAGGCCCUGCUCCCUGUGGGGUGGGCCAUCACCAACCUCUUCUUUGGUACUGAACAAAAAGGAAGAAUCGCAGGAUGAGAAUUUUGUCGCUGGGAAAACUUUCUCUGGAGUCAAUUGACGAUUGACUAGCACCAUGGAAUGGAUUUUUUUGACAGGAAGUAAGUGUCAAAUGCUGGCAUUUUGCAAUUGUUCACUUUCCCAGCUGCAAAUGACAUUGCAAGACUAGAAGAUCUAAGCCCUGUGAAUCUGAACAAGUGUAACCAUAAUGCCUCACUGGGGCUGUUUGGCUCUGGCUUAAGGUAAGGUUUGCACUGACAUGAUACAGGGGAUUUAAACCUCAGAUAAAAAUAAGCUGUGUGUGCACACUGCUGGAUCAGUUCAAAGGUCCAUCUCUCCUCUCUGGAAGUGGCAUACAUGCCAGGUGACAUACAAGGGCCCCCUACAUUACAGGAAUAUGCUUGGCAGCCCCAUCAGAUGGAUUUUACCUGAGUUGUUCCAGGCCAUCUUUCAUCUCCCCAGCUUUUUCUCACAGUGCAUUAUCACCAUUUCCACAAUUAUCACAGUUAUUGUCCUUCUGCAAGUGAACAGUGAAGCAGUUGAGUUUGUGAGACAGUGUUAAAUAUAACAAUAUUUUUUUCUUGCACUAAUCUCAUACCUGCUUCUUUUCUAUUUUCUGUCACACUCUUAUUGAUGCAGCUGUAGCAAUAUGGUGAUCACAAAUUUCAGGAGUGUCAGAGAGAAAUUUUCAUGUGCAAUUACAUACACUUCUUUUAUUUCCACAUAUUGGCAGGAAAAAAAAAUGUAUAUUCCUAUUAUUAGCAGCUGAUUACAGUUUCCUUAUUCUUUUACUGCUAAAAUAAUUGCAGAGUUGGAAGAGCUGCAUCUCUGUCUUGAAGAGAAAAAACAAGCUUUGGAAAUGAUGCUUUGUGCCUGUGCAGAUUUCUGACUCCAUUUGUUUUUUAAAGAAAUCGCUGGUGAAGUCGUGGUGUGUCCAUGUAACAUUCCUGCGCCUAAAAAUAUGGUCAAUUGACACCUUGAAGGUUUCCAGGCAACUCUAACCAUUUGUGACAUCUUUAGCUGCAUCUCCAGUAUGUUCAAAACAGAUGAAGUGAAUGAAUUGAUUUUAGCUGUAUAAAACCCUUGACGAAAAUCUCUUUGUGGCCAUCAAAGCCACACAAGCUUUGCUGUGGGCUCCCCGCUCCUGAAAGCACUGCAGCUUCCUUCCCCUGGGCCAGGGCACAAGCCAGAGAGAAAUGAUGCUGUGCCUUGCCUACCGCUGUAGCAUCACCAGCUCAGACCUGAAACUGUGCGUAUACCAUAAGAUACCAUCACAACAGCAGAAAAUAAGCAUUUCACUAGUUGUUUUUAAUCACUGUGACACCCAGUUUGCUGCAUAAAAUCAGGAUUGCAAAAGUUGAAGUCAAAAUGGUUCUUUGAUGGGCUUAAGGAGACAGCUAAAACAACAAAACCUUUCCCUCUCUCCCCAGAAAACAUUUGGACAUUCACAUGUAGUGAGAUGUGCAAUAGGCUACGAAUAAAUUAAGUGCAGAAUCUCAGCUCCUUUAAUGAAAUAAUCUGCUAAACUGAUGUUUGUAUGUAGUUCAAAGAAAAUCCUUUUGAAGACAUAUGGCCUUUUCAUUGUGUUCCAUUUUGG